GAUGCCUAGCGUAGUGGUAGCGCGUUGUUGUUGACAGUAGCACGUCGUGGGUUCGAUCCCCUCGGCUCC
rnacentral:tRNA from 1 species